rnacentral:rRNA from 1 species
UACGAAGGGGGCUAGCGUUGUUCGGAUUUACUGGGCGUAAAGCGCACGUAGGCGGCUUUUUAAGUCGGUGGUGAAAUCCUGGAGCUCAACUCCAGAACUGCCUCCGAUACUGAAAGGCUCGAGUCCGGGAGAGGUGAGUGGAACUGCGAGUGUAGAGGUGAAAUUCGUAGAUAUUCGCAAGAACACCAGUGGCGAAGGCGGCUCACUGGCCCGGUACUGACGCUGAGGUGCGAAAGCGUGGGGAGCAAACAGG